rnacentral:snoRNA from 1 species
UGAAAUGAAGAUACCUCGACAAACGAAUAGGCAUUCCUCGACCUUAAUACAUCAUGUCGAAAUUGUCAUUAAAUAGUUUCAGCCUUGUCUGAUC